ACACACCUCUCCCCGCCUCUUGACGUGGAUCCGUGCGGAGGUAUAAGAAAGGGUUAACGCCAGUCGAACCGGAAGUGAGUCGGAAUGUGGUCCAGAGGCAGAAAUAAAAGACGGCUGCAGCCACCAGAAAGUCAUUAAAGAGAGGGAGGCAGUGGCCGGGUCGAGCAGCUCGGAUGUGCGUGGAGAAGGAGAGGGGACUGGAGCAGGUGCAACUUUUGGUGACAACUUUUAACACCUGAUCAUCGAUGAUAAAAUCGACACAACAUUGGCAUCUGCUAAAAAAUGUAACUCACUCUUCUGGCACACACAACCACACACAUAGAUACAUACAUACACACACAUACAUACACACACACACACACACACACACACACACACACACACACACACACACACACACACACAAACACACACACAAACACACACAUACACUCAAACUCACACACACUCACACACACUCAAGCAAACACACACACACAGAUACACACACACAAAGAGACAGACUUUCACACAAAAACUCACACACUUUCAUGCACACACGCACGCACACACACACACACACACACACACACACACACACACACACACACACACACACACACACACACACACACACCCACGCGUACACACACACAAAGACACACACACACAGAGACACACACAAACAGAGCAUCAAGGAGGAGACAGAGGAGGAAGAGGAGGAGUAGGAGGAAGAGAGGGAGUCGUUCUCCAGCUCCUCUCUAGGCCCUCUUCCCCGGGCUCCCAGCACCACUCUACUGGAAACACAAGAGCCACAGACCCUGGGCCCCGUAGCAUCAGCAUGGGACAUGGAUCGGGGCCACGAGGAGAAAGAGAAGAAAAACAAUGGAGGAGGAAGAGGAACUCAAGACCCUUGGUUUCUCAGCGCGCCACUCCAGUACUUUACUGCGUGUGGUGUUGCUUCAACACUUGCCGUCUGUUUUGAGAAGCCCGCCCCCGGAAUAGGGAAUACAGUACAGGAGUGGUGAGGCCCUGCGGCCAAUCAGAACACAGAACCCCUGAUUCAGGGCCCUCUAAUGAAUGGGAAAGUAUGAUGAAUGGCCCCAGGUAGUUGACGUCAUGAGCCAGCUCUCACUGUACACUUCAUUUACAGCGACUACCUCCAACACUCUGUGUCUCGGGCGCAGAACACAUUACGCCGUGAUGCAAUUUAAAUUAGAAAAUGAGGCCAACCUGUUGUGUUUAAAGAGAUCUGAACUGAGUGCCUUUAUUACUGCUGUACUUACCAAUGCACCAAUAAAUAUUAUAAACCCCA
ensembl:lncRNA